GAUGAAGAACGCAGCGAAAUGCGAUAAGUAAUGUGAAUUGCAGAAUUCAGUGAAUCAUCGAAUCUUUGAACGCACAUUGCGCCCGCCAGUAUUCUGGCGGGCAUGCCUGUUCGAGCGUCAUUACAACCCUCAGGCCCCCGGGCCUGGCGUUGGGGAUCGGCGGAAGCCCCCUGCGGGCACAACGCCGUCCCCCAAAUACAGUGGCGGUCCCGCCGCAGCUUCCAUUGCGUAGUAGCUAACACCUCGCAACUGGAGAGCGGCGCGGCCACGCCGUAAAACACCCAACUUCUGAAUGUUGACCUCGAAUCAGGUAGGAAUACCCGCUGAACUUAAGCAUAUCCAAUAAGCGGAGGA
rnacentral:misc_RNA from 1 species